AACUUCAGGGAUAACAGGAGGUGUGAGUAUAUUUAAAUUGACUAAUACCUUUCAUCCCUCAGGCAUGUAAUUGUAUUAGGAAGGCUGCUUCUAAAUCCCUUAUACCUUUAGAAAAUUCCACUCAGAGAAGUUGACUGAGCUAAUGUCACACAGGAAGCAGAUGCCAGAGAACUAGAUCAAGGUUUUAUUCCCUGCUCAGGUCUGUUCUUUAACCACAAGAGCCCAUAGAAGUGAGUCUGGGCAGAGCAAACAUAAGAUUAAUCAUCAGGAUUACUCUAAGGCUGGGAUCUGAGAAAUGAAAUUGGAAGUCGCUUCUGAAGCAGGGAUAGGGUCAAUUCUCAAACAGAUUAGAGAUAGGCCAGUGGGCCAAAUUGAUCAGGGAUAAGAAAAAAAGGCCCCAGGUCCCAAAAUCACUUGUGCUGUGCUGUCCAAUGUCAGAACCAGUUUAAUCUCUCUUGCUACAUCA